UCAUGUACCUAAUCUGGACG
rnacentral:misc_RNA from 1 species